UUGUAAAAAAAAUUUAAGUUUCGGGAUACAUGUGCAGAACAUGCAGGUUUGUUACAUAGGAAAAUGUGUGCCAUGGUGGUUUGCUGCACCUAUCAACGCAUUACCUAGGUAUAAAGCCCAGAUGCAUUAGCCAUUUAUCCUGAUGCUCUCCUUCCCCCAAGUCCUGACAGGCCCUGUGUGUGUUGUUCCUCUCCCUGUGUCCAUGUGUUCUCAUUGAUCAACUCCCACUUAUGAAGGAGAACAUAUGGUAUUUGGUUCUCUGUUCCUGUGUUAGUUUGCUGAGGAUGAUGACUUCUAGUUUCAUUCAUGUCCCUGCAAAGGACAUGAUCUCAUUUCUUUUUAUGGCUGUAUAGUAUUCCAUGGUGUACAUGUACAACAUUAUCUUUACCCAGUCUAUCAUUGAUGGGCAUUGGGUUGAUUCCAUGUCUCUGCUAUUGUGAAUAGUGCUACAGUAAAUAUAUGCAUGCAUGUAUCUUUAUAAUGGAAUGAUUUAUUAUCCUUUGGGUAUAUACCCAGUUAUGGGAUUGCUAGGUCGAAUGGUAUUUCUGGUUCUAGAUCUUUGAGGAAUCGCCACACUGUCUUCCACAAGGGUCAAACUAAUUUACAUUUUCACCAACAGUGUAAAAGCAAGAACAUUCUUUCAAGCACACAGAGAACAUUUAAGAACAUCAGCCACGUAUUAGGCCAUAAAGCUAGUCUUAGCAAAUUUAAGAGUUGAUAUCACACAGAUCAUAUCUGACAACAAUGUAAUUGUUAGAAAUUGGUAAAAUGUUACCAAAAUUAACCCCCUACACUUGGAAAUAUGAAAACACAUUUCUAAAUAACUCAAGGUCAAGUAAGUAAUUUUAAUAAAAAUUUAAAAUACUGGAUAAAGGGGGAGGCGGGAAAACUUUUCUUUGUAUUUCUCAUGUCUCUAAAAUAUAUUUAUGCCAGUCACACACAAGACCAAAUUGUAAUUUAUGUUGGUGAUUUGUGAGAUGAGAUUUCACUCAAGAUCAAAAGUGAAAUGUACAGGCACCCCUACCAUGUUAAGAACUCACAUCAUCAUUUUUCAAGGUAAUAUGACAUUAAAAGCCUGGAAAUAAAUCUCAGAGGAUCUGCUAGUUAGUGCAAUUUUAACAUAAGCAAAUUGAGAAUGAACCUGUCACCGAAGUGUAUUUAUUGUUUAAAUAUUCACAGCAGCUUAAUGUAGAAGCCUGCAUUAAUCCAUUCUCACGCUGCUAUAAAGAAAUACCCGAGACUGGGUAAUUUAUAAACGAAAGAGAUUUAACUGACUCACAGUUCUGCAUGACUGAGGAGGCCUCAGGAAACUUACAAUCAUGGUGGAAGGGGAAGCAAACAUGUCCUUCUUCACAUGGAGUAGGAGAGAGAAGUGCAGAGCAAUGUGGGGGAAAGCCCCUUAUAAAACCAGUUAUUCUGGUGGAAAAAGGAAAGGAAAACCUGAUAGUGCCACUGAACACAGAAGCUAUGGCUUUUCUAUCACCUUUGCCUUCAGCUCUGGAUGUUACCAGGAAUUAGAAUUUGCUAAUUAGUGUUAAAUAAUAAACAUUUUUCAUCACCUCGAAAAUUACCUCUUAGUACUUCGCAAUCCCUCCCCCGUCUAAUCUUUCCUCCCCUAUCACUAGGCAAUCACCGACUUCCUUUUUCUCAGUGUAGGUUAGUU
rnacentral:lncRNA from 1 species